rnacentral:rRNA from 1 species
GAUGAACGCUGGUGGCGUGCCUAAUACAUGCAAGUCGAGCGAAGCGGGGACGGGUGAGUAACACGUGGAUAACCUCCUAUACGACUGGGAUAACUUCGGGAAACCGGAGCUAAACCGGAUACUUAUAGUCGGAUCCGCGCUGCAUUAGCUAGUGGGUAAGGUAACGGCUUACCAAGGCAACGAUGCAUAGCCGCCCUGAGAGGGUGAUGGGCCAAACUGGAACUGGGACACGGUCCAGACUCUUACGGAAGGCAGCAGUAGGGAAUCUUCCGCAAUGGGCGAAAGCCUGACGAAGCAACGCCGCGUGCGUGAUGAAGUUCUUCGGAUCGUAAAGCUCUGUUAUUAGGGAAGCGGUACCUAAUCAGAAAGCCACGGCUAACUACGUGCCAGCAGCCGCGGUAAUAC